AUUGAACGCUGGCGGCAUGCCUUACACAUGCAAGUCGAACGGCAGCACGGGAGCUCGCUCCUGGUGGCGAGUGGCGAACGGGUGAGUAAUACAUCGGAACGUACCCAGGAGUGGGGGAUAACGUAGCGAAAGUUACGCUAAUACCGCAUAUUCUGUGAGCAGGAAAGCGGGGGAUCGCAAGACCUCGCGCUCUUGGAGCGGCCGAUGUCGGAUUAGCUAGUUGGUGAGGUAAAAGCUCACCAAGGCGACGAUCCGUAGCAGGUCUGAGAGGAUGAUCUGCCACACUGGGACUGAGACACGGCCCAGACUCCUACGGGAGGCAGCAGUGGGGAAUUUUGGACAAUGGGGGCAACCCUGAUCCAGCCAUGCCGCGUGAGUGAAGAAGGCCUUCGGGUUGUAGAGCUCUUUCGGCGGGGAAGAAAUGGCAACGGCUAAUAUCCGUUGUUGAUGACGGUACCCGCAUAAGAAGCACCGGCUAACUACGUGCCAGCCGCCGCAGUAACAC
rnacentral:rRNA from 1 species